rnacentral:rRNA from 1 species
GGUGGAUUGUGUGGUUUAAUUCGAUGGUAAGCGAAGAACCUUACCAGGGUUAGAAAUCUAGGUGAAGACCAGUGGAAACAUUGGUCGUCUCACAAGGACUCCUAGACAGGUGCUGCAUGGCUGUCGUCAGUUCGUGAUUUGAA